rnacentral:rRNA from 1 species
CCUACGGGAGGCAGCAGUGGGGAAUUUUGGACAAUGGGCGCAAGCCUGAUCCAGCUAUUCCGCGUGUGGGAAGACGGCCUUCGGGUUGUAAACCACUUUUGUAGAGAACGAAAAGUCUGUUGAUAAUACCGAUAGAUGAUGACGGUACUCUAAGAAUAAGCACCGGCUAACUACGUGCCAGCAGCCGCGGUAAUACGUAGGGUGCGAGCGUUAAUCGGAAUUACUGAGCGUAAAGGGUGUGCAGGCGGUUUUGCAAGAUGGAUGUGAAAGCCCCGGGCUUAACCUGGGAAAGCCAUACAUGACUGCAAGACUAGAGUGCGUCAGAGGGGGGUGGAAUUCCAAGUGUAGCAGUGAAAUGCGUAGAUAUUUGGAAGAACACCGAUGGCGAAGGCAGCCCCCUGGGACGCAACUGACGCUCAUACACGAAAGCGUGGGGAGCAAACAGGAUUAGAUACCCGGGUAGUC